UACAGGGGGGGCAAGCGUUGUUCGGAAUUACUGGGCGUAAAGGGCUCGUAGGCGGCCAACUAAGUCGGACGUGAAAUCCCUCGGCUUAACCGGGGAACUGCGUCCGAUACUGGAUGGCUUGAGUUCGGGAGAGGGAUGCGGAAUUCCAGGUGUAGCGGUGAAAUGCGUAGAUAUGCGGAGGAACACCGAUGGCGAAGGCAAUCCCCUGGGCCUGCACUGACGCUCAUGCACGAAAGCGUGGGGAGCAAACAGG
rnacentral:rRNA from 1 species